UGGUCAUUACCAAGGCUUUUGGACUGUCGUUUCCUUUUUGCUGUGGACUUGACCAUAAAAAAAUCAUCCAAUGCACUUUUUCUCUGCUACCUUGCUAGCAAGCAGCCUGCUGCGAACAUUU